AGAGCUAAAGAUAACCCUAUCUGGACAGUUCCCUAGUGCUGAAGUUCCAGAGCCAGUAAACGGAUGCCUGGGUACUGUUUUCACUCCUCCCACCCUCGGAAAAAACCGGGCUGCCAAGACUGUGAGCACAAAUAGUAGAACUUCACAAGAGUUCAACAAUUUUUAUGAAUUUCUAAUCCAACCUCAUCAUCCUAUGGGAAACAGCCACCAAGAAUAGCCAGCUGGAAAUAAUGGAGACAGAGGAACAUAGUAAACUGCACCAAAACAUUGUAGUCUGUGGAACACCUGAGAACAUUCUACAUGACAAAACCCAGUUUUUUCAGUAAACAUAUUGCAUGGGAGAUAUAUAGUUUAAACAAGACUAAAAGACAUCAACCAAGUAAACAAGGUCUUCCUAUGUCAUCCAAGCUGGAGUGCAGUGGCACAGUCAUAGCUCACUGCAUCACUUGGCUCAGAUGCAUCACUUGGCUCAGCUGCAUCACUUGAGGAACUUGGCUCAAAUGGUCCUCUUUGCCAUAGGCUCCUGAGCAGCUAGGACCACAAGCAAUUAUCACCACACCUGGCUAUAUUUUUAAAAAAUAUUUUUUGCAGAGACAGGGUUUCACUGUGUUGCCCAG